rnacentral:lncRNA from 1 species
UGUAGUGCAAACUGUUUAAAGUUACAGCUCAAUUGGGAGCAAACAAAUGGUCUCAUAAGACAGGUGGUCUUUUAAGACAGGUUUAACUUUUUUUGGUGUCUCGAAACUAUGUUUGACAGUUAUUUCCACAUAUUAUGUUGUCAUUUUAAUGUUAUAUUUAACAUUGCCAUUAAAAUGCGAGGUUUGGCAUGCUACAAAACCAGGUUCAAC